rnacentral:rRNA from 1 species
UCUUCGGAGAGUUUGAUCCUGGCUCAGGAUGAACGCUGGCGGCGUGCCUAAUACAUGCAAGUCGAGCGAACUGAUUAGAAGCUUGCUUCUAUGACGUUAGCGGCGGACGGGUGAGUAACACGUGGGCAACCUGCCUGUAAGACUGGGAUAACUUCGGGAAACCGAAGCUAAUACCGGAUAGGAUCUUCUCCUUCAUGGGAGAUGAUUGAAAGAUGGUUUCGGCUAUCACUUACAGAUGGGCCCGCGGUGCAUUAGCUAGUUGGUGAGGUAACGGCUCACCAAGGCAACGAUGCAUAGCCGACCUGAGAGGGUGAUCGGCCACACUGGGACUGAGACACGGCCCAGACUCCUACGGGAGGCAGCAGUAGGGAAUCUUCCGCAAUGGACGA